AGGCACCAUUCCCUGGCUGGGAUCCCAGACUACAUACUUGAAGGAAUGGAGCUUAGCGGUGGUGGCGGCAGCAGCAGCAGCAGCAGCAGCAGCAGAUUUCCCUCUGCUUCCAGACAGUGGAUGCCAUGUGAACAUCUGCUUUGACUUCCCUACCGUGAGGGACUGUAUCUUGAACUGUCUCAUGUAGCCCAGGCUACAAACUUACUAUGUCCCCGAGGAUAACUUUUAAUUUCUGAUUCUCCUGCCUCACACCUCUCAGUGCUGGAAAUACAAAUGUGAGAUACCACACCCUGUUUUGUGCAGUUCAAAGAAUCAAAUCCUGGGUGGGUGCCGUACUUCCUAGGUAAACAAUCUACCAACUGAGCUGGAAGACAAAUGUGGAGGAGACACUGCCAGAAAACGAGAAAUACAGCCGGCUGCCUUAUAGGCAACUGCGUCAUUCUUUACGUGCCCUGGGGGAUGACUCCAGAGCCCUGCACAUUAGGCGAGUGCCCUACCACUGAGAUACCCAGCAGCCUGCUAGACCCUCACAGAAUGGGCAGCAAAGGGUGUUUGCUUGCUCUGGGAUCACAGCAAGCCUGAGUAAUCAUUACAUUAUGGAAU